rnacentral:rRNA from 1 species
AGCAACUCCGGUUGAUCCUGCCGGACCCCACCGCUAUCGGGGUAGGACUAAGACAUGCAAGUCGCGCGCUUCCGGCCAUGGGGAAGCGCGGCGCACGGCUCAGUAACACGUGGCUAACCUACCCUUGGGACGGGGACAACCCCGGGAAACUGGGGCUAAUCCCCGAUAGGGGAAAAAUCCUGGAAUGGAUUUUCCCCGAAAGGACGUCUAGACCAUGCUUCUAGACGCCGCCCAAGGAUGGGGCCGCGGCCGAUCAGGUUGUUGGUGAGGUAACGGCUCACCAAGCCUAUAACCGGUACGGGCCGUGAGAGCGGGAGCCCGGAGAUGGGCACUGAGACAAGGG